rnacentral:rRNA from 1 species
CUACGGAGGGUGCAAGCGUUACUCGGAAUCAUUGGGGUUAAAGGGUCCGUAGGCGGGCUAAUAAGUCAGGGGUGAAACCCCACAGCUUAACUGUGGAACUGCCCUUGAUACUGUUGGUCUUGAGUUACAGUGAAGUGGUUAGAAUGUGUAGUGUAGAGGUGAAAUGCAUAGAGAUUACACAGAAUACCGAUUGCGAAGGCAGAUCACUAACUGUAUACUGACGCUAAUGGACGAAAGCGUGGGGAGCGAACAGGAUUAGAAACCCUAGUAGUCC